UACGAAGGGGGCUAGCGUUGCUCGGAAUUACUGGGCGUAAAGGGCGCGUAGGCGGCACUGUUAGUCAGGCGUGAAAUUCCUGGGCUCAACCUGGGGACUGCGCUUGAUACGGCAGAGCUUGAGGAUGGAAGAGGGUCGCGGAAUCCAGUGUAGAGGUGAAAUUCGUAGAUAUGGGAAGAACACCGGUGGCGAAGGCGGCGACCUGGCCAUUACUG
rnacentral:rRNA from 1 species